UAGGAAAGGAAAAGAAAAUAACAACAGUUCUUGCGGUUAAAGCAUCUGUCAAGUGAAGGUAUGCCGCUUGAAUCCUUCUUCUUUUAGUAACCAUCCGUAGACAGCGGCAGUAAUGCCAAGGCAAAAAACUUGAUACUCUGUUCAUAGUCAUCUCAUUAUUGAAAAAGUAAAUGUAAAACUGGCCUGCAAGAUAAAAGCAUUUCCCGGUAACUAAAUGUACAACCUAUGAUCGUCAGUGCUCUUAAUAUUCAGUUACUGGGAAUACCGCUGGAUGAAAUAGUGGAAACUCCAGAUCUUAUAACUUCUAAAUACAUUCUCAACUAAGAUUUUAAGCCAUGAGAUUAUAUGCCAAUAGUUACAUUUAAGUCAUAAAAGGCAGUAAGAAUAAGUUCAGGACACAGUGAGGGAUGAAACUACUUAUUUGAAAACAGUGAAGCAACUCAUUCAAUUUAACUAAUUUUAAGAGAUCCAGUUUUAAGAAUUAAUACUAUACAACUAAGAGCAAGCUACAAAAUAGCCAAUCAAGAAGAUUCAACUGUAUAAACUUGUUAAUUAGAGACAUUGUUUUAACCAAAAUAUUUUAACCACCACUUCCACCAACCACCCCGGUGAAGUGAAAUAUAUAAUAUGGUCAAUCAAGCAUAUUAACAUUAAUAUGUUACAACUAAUAAAAGUGCACUGGGAAGGCAACCAUAAAGCAAGAACAACCGAUGUCAAGAGCACAAAUGAUCACAGUAAUGAGAAAAAGUAACCGAUGUCAAGAGCACUGACGAUCACAGUAAUGAGAAAAAGUAACCAAUGUCAAGAGCACUGACGAUCACAGUAAUGAGAAAAAGUAACACAUGGCAAGAACAAUGGACUGACCAGACCUUCUGAAAUCCCUGGAACUACAUGAUAUUAGAUCCCUGACAACGCACAUAAUACCUACAAAGUAGCUGAUGCGAAAAUGACUUCAAAAUAGUUCUUUGUUUUUCUAAACCCAAACAUAGUUGGGGAGACCUCGAGACAGACAGUUUACGGGUCGGUGGAAGUGGCUGGUGACAAAAUUGAGACACCACCCGUAAGCUUGGUGUGUCAAUGUUUUACAGAUAUGACAAAGAAAUGAGAAAUGGUUGACCUGGCAAUGUUGCUCAGUGUUCAAACAAUCCCAAAAAUGAUAUUGAGAAAUCUAUCCUGGCCUAGAGACAUGAGCUUAGACCAACUUUACAGAAUGCUAAUUCAUGCACUAAACUUCUACCAGAAAUGAUCAUGUAUUGCAGAUUGAGUAAUUAGCGGUGCUGCGUCAAGAACUAUAGAGAAUUCAUGUUUGCAUUAGCACAAAUAAUAAAAUCAAUAGGCAGGCAUGACUGCGUUCACAAGAGAGAAAUGCCAACUUGUUCUUAUUCACUAAAUUGUUCUGGAUUAUUCCUCUUCUUUCUCAGAUCUGCACACAUCUGUUCAGAGAAGCCAGAUAUUAGGAAAUCAAUUCAGAGUGACAAAGGAUGGAGCACCUAACAGAGGUUUGUGAACAACCUCUUCACGCCAUGCCAUAAGAUGACUACUUUCAGCCAGAUUGAUUCCCUGUUUUUAUGAAUAAAACAUAUUGCACGUGAUUGGAUCUUAUUGUUAUAGAUUAGCAAGAAUCUCUAGAUUCUAUCAUCAUAUAUAUCUUACUCCUAAGGUUACAGGGUAACCGUAAUCAUCUACUUGCAAUUUCCAAGACAUUCUUUAUAAAUGUUAUACUACAUGGCACAUGUCUAUGUCCAAAGGCAAUAAUAUGCAACUCAAGGAUCAUAUUCAUAUUGUACCGUAAUUGCAUCCCACAAAAAGAAACCUAUAGGCCUAAGAAACAUAGUAAAUAUCGAUAAUACAUCAUUACCAUGAAAGAAUUUCUCACCUAGAAAUUCGUAUCAAAGAAAGUGUGCGCAGAAGCAACCCAUACAGGUGAACUCAAGAUAUUUAAAUGAACAUAUUCAAAGAUAUUCCACUAC
rnacentral:lncRNA from 1 species